GACGAACGCUGGCGGCGUGCUUAACACAUGCAAGUCGAGCGAUGAAGCUCCUUCGGGAGUGGAUUAGCGGCGGACGGGUGAGUAACACGUGGGUAACCUGCCUCAUAGAGGGGAAUAGUCUUCCGAAAGGAAGAUUAAUACCGCAUAAGAUUGUAGUACCGCAUGGUAUAGCAAUUAAAGGAGUAAUCCGCUAUGAGAUGGACCCGCGUCGCAUUAGCUAGUUGGUGAGGUAACGGCUCACCAAGGCGACGAUGCGUAGCCGACCUGAGAGGGUGAUCGGCCACUUUGGGACUGAGACACGGCCCAGACUCCUACGGGAGGCAGCAGUGGGGAAUAUUGCACAAUGGGGGAAACCCUGAUGCAGCAACGCCGCGUGAGUGAUGGCGGUCUUCGGAUUGUAAAACUCUGUCUUCAGGGACGAUAAUGACGGUACCUGAGGAGGAAGCCACGGCUAACUACGUGCCAGCCGCCGCUGUAA
rnacentral:rRNA from 1 species